UCAACUCAUGUACCUCAACUUGAGUUGACCAACAAUUAAAGAAGACGACCUGCUCCACCUGCUGAUCUACUGGUUGUAACAGAUUGUGGAAAAGCAUCACCAGCAGCACUGGACCAAUCAGGAGAGAGAAGACACAGAGGACUGAAGGGACUCAGAAAAUCCUGCUGGAAAUCCCAAGAUGAAGUUUCCUGAUGCAACAAGGGGACACCUGAGGACACAGAAUAAAGAAGGACCAUGUGAAGCAGGUCCUUCAAUAACAAACCAAGCAUGAGUUGACCAACACUUACAGCAGGUUACUUUGUCCAUCUACUGAUCUACUGGUUGUAACAGAUGAUGGUGAAGGUUGAGGAGAUAAUGACUUGAUCAGAAACUGUGGCCGACAACUGCAAACGCGCAGCAAACAGCAAAACGAGCUGCAAACAGACUCAUGAAGAGGACGGUCAGAGUCGUCCAUAGCUUUCUUGACUCUUCUGAAGAAUCUUUCUUUGCGUCAUCUCCAGAGGUUCCACAGUCAUCUCCAGAACAGAACCAGAACCAAUCCAGCCUUCUUUAUCAGAUUGUUGAGCCUUUUGAGGUUCCUGGCUCUGAUGCUGCUGCACCAACAGAUGAUAGCAGAAGAGAUGACACUCUCAGCAGCAGACUUAAAGAUCUGCAGCAACUUGCUGCAAACCUUGAAGGAUCUUAGCUUCCUGGAGAAGUGCAGUCUGCUCUGUCUCUUUUUGUAGACGGCUUCACUGUUGCGUCUCCAGUCCAGUCUGGACUGGACUGGACUGGAAUAUAAACACAGAGGUAUUUAUAUUCCUGAACCACCUCCACAUCUUCUCCCAUGAUGGAAAUAGGGUUUCCUGUUUCUCCUGAAAUCAACAACCAUCUCCUUUGUUUUGUUUACAGUCAAGAUUAGAUGAUUGUUCCCUCACCAGGCCACAAAGUGAUCCACCAGAUCUCUGUACUCAGCCUCUUGUCUUCCUCUGAUACACAACAACUGCAGAGUCGUCUGAGUAUUUCUGUAGAUGACAGAAGUCGGACUUGUGCUGGAAGUCUGAACAGUAGAGAGUGAAAAUGAAUGGUGAGAGUACAGUGCCCUGUGGUGUUCCCAUGUUGUUGACCACCUGGUUAGACACACAGUCCUUCAGUCUCACUAACUGUAGUCUGUUUGUCAGGUAGUCACAGAUGCAGGUGAUUGUUGAGGCCUCCACCUGUGUCUUCUGGAGUUUCUAACAGAGCAAAUCAGGCUGAAUUGUGUUCAAUGCACCUGGGAACCAAAGACCCUGAUCCUCACUGUGCUGCCUGCUUUGUCCAGAUGACAGUGGGUUUGUUGAAGCAGGUGUCUGAUCAACUCCAACUCCACGGCGAUAAGCAAACUGCAGGGGGUCCUGAUAUGUGAUCGUCUGCUUACUCAAGUGGGCCACCAGGAGUCUCUCCAGGACCUUCAGGAUGUGGGACGUCAGGGCAACAGGUCUACAGUCAUUAUGACUGAUGGGUGACUUUUCUUCGGUACCGGAACCAGACAGGAUGUCUUCCACAACAACGGAACCUCCUCUUGGGUCAGGCAAAGGUUGAAGAGAUGCUGCAGAAUCCCACAGAGGGAAUCUGGGACUGACAGCAUCUGGACCUGCAGCCUCGUUCCUGUUCAGUCUCUCCGGCUGCUUCUUCACCUGACUUCUAGAUACAGAAAAGUUGGAGGUGGAGGCAAAGGGAGCAGCAGCGUCUCCUGAUGUGGUUAAAGACAAACUUGUGGAAGCAGAAGAGUCCAUGACUGAGGUGGAAGAUGGAACAUCUGAGGUUUGACAGGAAAGCUGUGGGUCAGAGGAGGACGAGAAAUCUGUCUGGCUGCAGACAGGAGAGGAAGAUGAUGAGCUUGUUCCUGGACUGAACCUGUUGAAGAAUGUGUUCAGCUCAUUUCCUCUGUCCAGAAACUAAUAUUGUUAUAAAGAAAAGUCAUGGUAGCAUGUUUUUAUGUAAUAAUGUGUAUGUAAUGUUUGGAAUGAAGAAGAUAUGCUGCAUAAUCUGAUGGAAUUACAGAAGAUCAUUGUGGCUCCUGCUCAGUGCAAAAACACACAUUUUGUUGGUUUCUGAAGAGUAAAAAUUGAACAAAUGUGUACAUUUAAAGAUUAAAUUUAUAUUUCACAGUCAUCACAAUGCUAAAGAAAAUUCUCACAACAGUGUGAAAAUCAUGGUGUUUAUUUACAGGACAGGAAGCAGGAGGAAGAUAUUAAAGAAUGUAAAAUAUUUUGCAGUGUCAGGUUAUUUCUAUGUAUUAUGAUGUAAUAUAAUACAUGUAUUUUUGGACUUAUUGUAUUCUGUUUUAUAUUUGUGUGUAACUUUCACUUGAUUUGUGAAAGCAUGGAAAGUAAUUAAGCUGAUCAUAGAGUGAAAUAACAUUAAGUUGUAAGUAAAUUCAAUAAAAGC